rfam:Salmo salar isolate Sally breed double haploid chromosome ssa03, whole genome shotgun sequence.
CUUAAGAUAAACUGUAAGUCACUCUAGAUAAGAGUGUCUGCUAAAUGACUAAAA